AGCCCAUAGAACAAUACAAAAAAUUAUACAGGCCAUAACUGCAAAUACAUCAUGGCCCAUAAUGAUCAACUUCACAUCCAAUAAAGGUUAGAAAAAAACAAAAUAACACAGGGAGACCACACCAGUUCGCACAAAUCCCCUAGAUCGAGCAAAACAAAUCGAGCACGCCAUAGACAGUGAGGAGAACGAGAAAAAGAAGAAGAAGCAAAUUCUUACCAAGAACAUUGAGGUCAAGAAGUUGAAAUCAACAAGACAUAAUCUUCCAGGGUCAGGUAUAUUGCAAUCUCAAAAAUCAGGAGAUACACAAUCAGAUGGAUAUGAAAUGAGAAGCAAAAUUGUGUCUGAAGAAAUGAGAAGCAAGAAGACAGUUAAAGGUUCUGUUACAAUUCGAUCUCAAGUAACAGUGGAUACAUAAUCAGAGAGAUCUGAAAGAGAUAACAUUAAUUUCGUCUGAUGAAAAAAGAAGCAAGAAGACAACUAAAGGGUCUGAUGGGUUACAGUCUGAAAAAUCAGGGGAUAUGCAAUCGGAGAGAUAUGAAAGUGACAAAAUUUUGUCCAGAGAAAUAAGAAGCAAGAAAACAUUGAAAGGUCAGUUAUCAUGCUCACCUAGCAUUAUGCACCAUAAAAUGAUCUUGGCAGACAAUAUAAUCUAGCAUAAAAUUAUAUACAACAAAUUAGAGAUUGUAGCGUUGAUAAAUUUUCAAGGACUAUAUAUCUAUAGUUAGUUACAGUGAGAAAUAACAAAAGUUACAUAUGUAACUACAAUACAUAUAGACUGUAACUGGGCUAAAACUGCAAGCAUGCUUGAAUUUCUUCAAAAAAUAAAGAAUUUCUUCAGAAAAGGAGUCACUUUGUCACAAUGGACUGAAGAUUUUCCUCAAGUGAAAAUCAUCUUCAGACAGUGGUGUUUAACAAAGCACAACAAUUAGAUUAGAGCCUAGGAUAAAAAAAAACAGAGCAUUGUGGUCCAAACGGUCAUAUCUCCAGUUGUGUACAAAUUUGCCCAUAUAUUAAAUUUUGUACAUAAUUUGCACAUAUCUCAAACUUCUGUGCACAUAUAUUAAAAUCACUCGACAACAAGAUGUGACAAGUUAGCUGAUGCAGAAGGGAAUGGACCAGACAGGGUGUUGUUGUUGAGCCUCCCGAUUAAAUUUCACAGCAAAUGAGUUAACUGACUAACAAGCUCCACACAUAAUUAACAUGGGAACAAUAUUGGGAUGGGACGAUGGGUCAUUCAGAAUAAAGAAGAAAAAAAAUCAUACAGAUAUUUCAGGCAUGUGAAUACCUCCAGGCACCCAAGUGACCUUGGUUUUGCUACCAUUGAAAUGCAUUAGAUCAACAUUAGACUGAAACCCUCCAAAUUAUUUUUCAGUUUGCUGAAGUAUGAGAUUUUAAAAAGCUCAUGUCGACUGAAACUGUGCAAUAGCCUGCUCCAAGAUUCAAAAAAUACUGACAAUUCAAAUAGAUUUACGAGCGUGCUAUCCCCUGUUCCCAAUUCAGAAAUAGUGCCAAUUAUGUUCCCAAGUUCAGAAAUAGCGCCAAUUCAAACAGAUUUACGAUUUACGAGCGAUUGACAAUGAACAAAAGUUCAGAAGAGAAGAAAGAGCAGAUGCAACCAAUAGCCCAUAAUUUCUCAAAGCAACAGGGACCAAGUUCAGGUAUUGGCUUGCUGCUAACUCAUUUAGAUCAGCACUGAAAAGUUCAGAACAUGUACAGGAAUUUUAUAAACCAAAUAGUACAGUAGAAUACAAUCUGAAGAAAGCAGAACGCAUGUAGGGGUUUGGGUUUAAUUUAACCAAGCAACUCAGCAUACUGGGAAAUCAAACCGUACAUCUCUGAAACGAAAUGAUUCAUAUGCUGCAGAAGGCAACAC